AAGCAAAGUGAAGUGGGAGAUGGAGUGAGGAGGCUCCAGGCAACUGAGCCCUACUGGCAGCUGUGAAUUCAGCUUAAGAAUAAGCGCAGUUUCACCUGUGGCCCUGUGGCUGGGUAAUGCAUCUUUCAAACCGGCACGAAGAUUUGGCGAGCAACGGGGGAGUAUAAUGGUUUGGCGCAGUACGGUCACGCGGGCAAGCCACCUGUGGGUAACAGCGGGGCGCGAGGCAAUAAAUUUUGGAGGGAGAGGGCUCGCUCAGAGGAUGCAGGAGGUACAGUUCUGCGCAAAGGCUGCAGAUCGGCCCUCUGGAGGUUCCCGCUCUCCUGCUGAGGGUUGAGGGUGCUGGGCUGAAGGUGGCUGAGCUUCUUGCUAGGGUAGCGCUCCCUUCUCUCCUUGGCAGGGCCUCAGAGCGGUCAGUGCACUGUCCAGGAUCGGGUCCCUGCCUGCCAGAGAGGGCGCUGCAGGGGAGCAGGAUUUGUGGCCCAGCACUUGGUGCAGGGGGUGACAGCUUUGAGAUCAGGGCCUGUGGGUCCUCUUGCCCCCUUGCUGGAAGCCCUGGAGGGGAACGUCGCUUAGAACAGCAUUGCACAGGACACCCAGAUCCUGCUGAGGUGGCAACUGUGGUGGUAGCCAGGGCAGUUUUGGAGGAACCUACUUUCCGUAGGACCCAGCACUCCCCUUCCUGUGCAGCUGACCAAGAGAAAUAAAAACAAAACUUCCUUUUCCACAGACAUAUUUGAGUGAGGCUGGGUUAUCUUUCUAUAUUUCAAUCAAACAAGAUAUUGAGACAGAUUGAAUGCAGGAGGAGACAGGAGAAUCCAACUGUCCUUCAUUUUGUGAAAAUGUACAAGGCCACUCUGUCCCUUCUUUAUUUGUUUUGGAGAUUAUAAUUAUUUCUCUUUUUUCCUGUAAUGCUAUCCUGAAGCAGAGAUUAUAGUUAUUUUUCAUAAAAGGAUAUUAUUUGCAUUUUCA